UGGUGGAGUGAUUUGUCUGCUUAAUUGCGUUAACGAACGAGACCUCGACCUACUAAAUAGUUGACUUUAUUUCUUUGGAGAUAAGAGUCUAACUUCUUAGAGGGACUAUCGGUUCUUAGCCGAUGGAAGUUCGAGGCAAUAACA
rnacentral:rRNA from 1 species